CCUACGGGGGGCAGCAGUGAGGAAUAUUGGUCAAUGGCCGAGAGGCUGAACCAGCCAAGUCGCGUGAGGGAAGACGGCCCUACGGGUUGUAAACCUCUUUUGUCGGGGAGCAAAGAGAGUCACGUGUGACUCAUUGAGAGUACCCGAAGAAAAAGCAUCGGCUAACUCCGUGCCAGCAGCCGCGGUAAUACGGAGGAUGCGAGCGUUAUCCGGAUUUAUUGGGUUUAAAGGGUGCGCAGGCGGAGGGGCAAGUCAGCGGUAAAAUUGCGGGGCUCAACCCCGUACUGCCGUUGAAACGGCAUCCUGUGAGGGCGCGAGAGGUAUGCGGAAUGCGUGGUGUAGCGGUGAAAUGCAUAGCUAUCACGCAGAACUCCGAUUGCGAAGGCAGCAUACCGGCGCGCAACUGACGCCCAUGCACGAAAGCGUGGGUAUCGAACAGGAUUAGAUACCCUAGUAGUC
rnacentral:rRNA from 1 species